GCGGGCAUGGCGGAAUUGGCAGACGCGCGGGAUUUAGGUUCCCGUGACCGGAAGGUUGUGCAGGUUCGACUCCUGUUGCCCGCA
rnacentral:tRNA from 1 species